AGGAUGACUUGGAAUCAUCCUACAACUCUUGGAGCAGAUAUCUAUUUGCAUGGAAUCAUCACAUUGUAAGGUUCCCAUAUUUGUUAUCUCAUCGCUAGCAGAUGAGUUAUUGGCAUAUACCGACAUAAUAACUGAGUUGGUGUGCAAACAAAGGCAAGAAAAGGUAUGCUUACGAGGGCAUAUGAUUUAUAAAUUUUGGAAGUCUCCAACUGAUCAUUUACAUCCCUACUAAAAGCAGAUUUUUUGUUGAGUUUAUGUCCUUCACAGUUGUUCUCUGUGAGCCAUUAUUUGCCAAUGUCAAGCUUUUGGAUGGAGAAAGGCUGCAAGUGUAUCCUGCAAUUUUACUCGCCUAAGCUAUUGUACGGUAACCUUUUCUUUUGACCGUGCAACUUGUCACCUAAUCGUAUCCUCUGAUAGCUGUUAGAAUGGGUGCAGACUUCAUUGGCAGGAGCUGUGCAUUGUAUUUUGUCCUCACUGGAGUUUGUGACUUAGCCCAGCUGUUCAUUUGCUCAGAUGCUGGCAUGGGGAUGAAAAAUCAUUACUUAUCUGGGAGGUGGUAAUAUAUUAUAUCACUCAUCAAACAAUGGAAAGUGCUUCUCUCUUUCCUAUUUUUCAGCAAAUAGAACCAUUCAACGAGCAGAACCUUUUUGUUCAAUUUGCAGGAGGGCAUGGAUAGUGAUAUAGCUCUCUUGCCUUGUGAUCCGAAGGAGAUGAAGAUGAAUGUCCUUCAAUGUUCAUUUCUUUCGGGAAUAGUGUUGAAGAAGGUUCAACCUUUAUUCAAUGUAUCGCAACUGAAGUUUGUUGUGGUAAUAUCACCUAAUCCUCCAUACAUUCUCUUUCUGAUGAUGGUACUUCAGAUCGAUGACUUUUCUGUUCUUGCACUUUCUAUUGAAGAUAGUUACCCGAAGAUUUUAGGCAGCUGAUCAUAUCACCAGUCGCAGACUUGUACUCAGUCCUUCACUACUCUCUGAAUGAGACAUUGAAGCUGUCCACCCUGAAGGAAGAUCCAGAACUAGAAAUCACAGCAGACUUGAUCUCUCAAUUACAGUGGAAAAACUUGAAGACCAAAAUUUGAGCAUCACAAGAUUGAAAGGAAACCUCUUUAUGAGUGAUGCCAGAAGGUGGAUUCUACCUAGUGAUGAGCUAUCCUGCUCAAAAAGUGAGCCCCCGUGGCUUUUGGGGGCUCUAGACUUGCAAAGGAUCCUGGCUCGUUUAUCAGAGAUGGGUAUUGGCGGAUCUCUACAAGAAAACAAUGUUACAGAUGGAUUGAGCAACACUCGUAUCUUGCACAUCGACGCUCCUAGUGAAGCUACACUUGAAAUUUGAAGCACGAGCACUUUAAUCAGUGCCAUG